AUAUGUAACGAGCUAAAACGGACAAUAUCUGCUAGAGCUCUCUUCGCCACCUAGCUAGGGUUUAAUUUUACAGCUUCUUCUCAAUCCCUCUUGUUUGGCCACCAAGAAACCUCGAGGAAAUCUAUGAGACACGACACAAAUAAAACAUGGCCCUCCCAAGAUCUGUCUAGAGAACGUGGCAUGAACAUGUUCUCAAAGUACGAAUAAGUUGCAUCAUGGUCUACCAUGGGAUUAUCUUUGUUAGAUUCAUUGAAAAGUUAUGAAUAAAAAGCGUAAUUGAGUAUAAUUCAGUCGUAAUUGACAUGUACUUCUUAUAUUUUAAAAGAUAUCGUGAAACAAUCAAAUAUAUGGAGUCAUCCGUGAUCGAAAUUUUUAGAUUUAAUGAUGAAUUAAUACGGUAUCGAGUCUUGGAGAGAAAUCAUAUGAAUUGUGAAGGG